AAGGGUAAGUAGAGUGGCGCACGGGCGAGUAACACGUGGACAACCUGCCUUCGAGUGGGGAAUAACCUUCCGAAAGGAGGGCUAAUACCGCAUAACACCUCGGAGCACAAGUUCUGGGGUUGAAAAGAGCAAUUUGCUCGAAGAGGGGUCCGCGCCUGAUUAGCUAGUUGGUGAGGUAACGGCUCACCAAGGCUUCGAUCAGUAGCCGUCCUGAGAGGGAGCACGGCCACACUGGAACUGAGACACGGUCCAGACUCCUACGGGAGGCAGCAGUGGGGAAUUUUUGGCAAUGGGCGCAAGCCUGACCAAGCAACGCCGCGUGGGUGAUGAAGUAUCUUGGUACGUAAAACCCUUUCGGCAGGGACGAACCUAAUGACGGUACCUGCGGAAGAAGCCCCGGCUAACUCCGUGCCAGCAGCCGCGGUAAUACGGGGGGGGCAAGCGUUGUUCGGAAUUACUGGGCGUAAAGGGCGCGUAGGCGGUUGGAUAAGUCAGCUGUGAAAACCACGGGCUUAACUCGUGGCCUGCAGUUGAGACUGUCUGGCUUGAGUGUGGGAGAGGAGAGUGGAAUUCCUGGUGUAGCGGUGAAAUGCGUAGAUAUCAGGAGGAACACCGGUGGCGAAGGCGGCUCUCUGGACCACAACUGACGCUGAAGCGCGAAAGCUAGGGGA
rnacentral:rRNA from 1 species